rnacentral:tRNA from 1 species
CCUUCGAUAGCUCAGUUGGAAGAGCGCAAGACUGUAAUUGGCUAAACGUACAUCUUGAUGUCGCUGGUUCGAUCCCGGCUCGAAGGA